rnacentral:snRNA from 1 species
AUUAUUUUUCUAAAAAAAAAAAUCUGUUCUUAUCAGUUUAAUAUCUGAUACGUCCCCCAUCGGGGGACUACAUAUUAAAUGGAUUUUUCGAACAGGGAGUCGGAAAUGGGGCUUGCUCCGUCCGCUCCACGCAUCGACCCGGUAUUGCAGUACCUCCGGGAACGGUGCAACACUU